rnacentral:rRNA from 1 species
ACUGAAUAGAUACCCCGGUAGUCCACGCUGUAAACGAUGAGUGCUAGAUGCCGGAUUUUUUCGGUGUCGCAGCUAAACGCAUUAAGCACUCCACCUGGGAAGUACGAUCGCAAGGUUGAAACUCAAAGGAAUUGACGGGGGCCCGCACAAGCAGUGGAGCAUGUGGUUUAAUUCGAUGCAACGCGAAGAACCUUACCUAGGCUUGAAAAGCUUAUGACCGGCUGUGAAAGCAGCUUUCCCGCAAGGGCAUAAGUACAGGUGCUGCAUGGCUGUCGUCAGCUCGUGCCGUGAGGUGUUGGGUUAAGUCCCGCAACGAGCGCAACCCUUACCAUUAGUUGCCACCGGAGCAAUCCGAGCACUCUAAUGGAACUGCCUACGCAAGUAGUGAGGAAGGUGAGGAUGACGUCAAGUCCGCAUGGCCCUUACGCCUAGGGCUACACACGUGCUACAAUGGCCGCCACAACGGGCAGCAAAAUCGCGAGAUGGAGCGAAUCCCUAAAAAGCGGCCUCAGUUCGGA